rnacentral:rRNA from 1 species
GACGGAGGAUGCAAGCGUUAUCCGGAAUGAUUGGGCGUAAAGCGUCCGCAGGUGGCAGUUCAAGUCUGCUGUCAAAGACCGGGGCUUAACUUCGGAAAGGCAGUGGAAACUGAACAGCUAGAGUAUGGUAGGGGCAGAGGGAAUUCCUGGUGUAGCGGUGAAAUGCGUAGAUAUCGGGAAGAACACCAGUGGCGAAAGCGCUCUACUGGGCCAUAACUGACACUGAGGGACGAAAGCUAGGGGAGCGAAAGGG